GCAAAUCCUGAUAUACAUGGUUGGUCAGCUGUUAACUGUAUUGAUAUUUUGGCAACGGAUAGCUUUUGUCUCCUUUACUUCUAAAUUCUAUUUUGAUGUUUUGAUGAUAACAUGAAGCCACUUGCAUGUGCAUAAACUGUAGGAAAGGCCAUCCACUUCAACAUUGUUGUAUCUAGCUUCAUACAUGUGAGAAAAAAAGUUUGAAACUUUAAGUUGUGUACAUUGUUAAGUUUCUCUGCAACCCAUGAAGAACGACAGAAUUAAUUUCAUAUCUAUGUUUUGAUAUCUGAUGAAACUUAGCUAUUUGUUUGUUUCAA
rnacentral:misc_RNA from 1 species